AUGCUGGCCCUACCUCUGGGCAAGUGCCAAAGACUUGGCUUUUCCCUGUCUGCAAAACGGGUUGAUGCAGGAUUAAGUAACACAAGUGAACAACUAACCCCGGGGCACAGCAAACCCAUGAUAAGCCAACUAGCAUCUGUACCUCCUCACAAAUGUGACACUGCACAUGUCCAGCCCAGUUCCAGGCUUGUUCCCCACAAAACCCACAACAAAUGUCAUUUACUUCUUUCCCCCAAAUCCUGGAUCUCAGCUCUGGGUGGGGAAGGGUCAGCUAUGCUUUCUUGGUAUAAUUAUCGUUCCUUUAUUUGGAUGUUCCCAGGCUUGUUUUACACCAAUUGUUUGAAUCUUCAUUUCUGUACGUGCUUCAUACUGUUUGGGGAGAAAUCUCUCAGUAGCAGUUCCCCAGAAUGUGCCUUGUGGAGACAUGGUGGAAAGGAAAAAGAACCCAGUUCCUGGAGCUCCAGUAGGUGCCUGCAUGUGGUCACAGGACUUCUUGACUUCAAGGCGUUGACUUCUACUGAAAUGAUGAGCCAAGUAUGCUACAGAACCCUGACUAAUACGGUAUUCACGAGCCAUCGCACUGGCAUUCUCUGGGGUGUGUUCUCCUGGGGUUCUUUCCACCAGCCUUCAGACAUCCUCCACCCCGGUCUUGGUGAAGUGUGCUCUGGCUGCAGAGAAGCUUCAGAACAGAUCUCAGACCUCAAGCAGGAGGCUCUGAAGGAGGCACCCUCCCCUGGAACAUUAUCUCUAGAUUCUGAAAUCAUUCCUCAAUCCUAUUUGUGUUCCUUCCUCAAUUUCUCAGGGAUCCAAGGAUGCCCACAACGAGAGGGCAAGCCCCUGUUUCACGUGGGUUUCAUACUGCAGUAUGCUGCAUUUCCCACCGAAUACCCCCCCCUUCUUCCUCUGCUACUGCUUUUAGAGGAACUGAGUUUUCCUUCAACCGAAACCAUGCUCAGGCUUUUAAUUUUUGCCAUGCAUACUAAUGCUGCAGUGCUUAAUAAAAUAAAUAAAUAAAACAAGACUGUGUAAGAAGAAAUGCUACAAUUUAACAUUUUUGAGCAUUGCUAAUUCAUUUAGGAGGUAAUUUGAACUGAAAUUCUCAGGAAUGGUUAUUACUAUUCU
rnacentral:lncRNA from 1 species